rnacentral:rRNA from 1 species
GACGAACCGUGCGAACGUUGUUCGGAAUCACUGGGCUUAAAGGGCGCGUAGGCGGGCUGUCAAGUCUGGGGUGAAAUGCCGCAGCUCAACCGUGGAACUGCCUUAGAUACUGACGGCCUCGAGGGAGGUAGGGGCGUGCGGAACUGUAGGUGGAGCGGUGAAAUGCGUUGAUAUCUACAGGAACUCCGGUGGCGAAAGCGGCGCGCUGGACCUCUUCUGACGCUGAGGCGCGAAAGCUAGGGGAGCAAACGGG